rnacentral:rRNA from 1 species
GACGAACGCUGGCGGCGUGCUUAACACAUGCAAGUCGAACGGAAAGGCCCUGCUUUUGUGGGGUGCUCGAGUGGCGAACGGGUGAGUAACACGUGAGUAACCUGCCCUUGACUUUGGGAUAACUUCAGGAAACUGGGGCUAAUACCGGAUAGGAGCUCCUGCUGCAUGGUGGGGGUUGGAAAGUUUCGGCGGUUGGGGAUGGACUCGCGGCUUAUCAGCUUGUUGGUGGGGUAGUGGCUUACCAAGGCUUUGACGGGUAGCCGGCCUGGGAGGGUGACCGGCCACAUUGGGACUGAGAUACGGACCAGACUCCUACGGGAGGCAGCAGUGGGGAAUAUUGCACAAUGGGCGGAAGCCUGAUGCAGCAACGCCGCGUGCGGGAUGACGGCCUUCGGGUUGUAAACCGCUUUCGCCUGUGACGAAGCGGGAGUGACGGUAAUGGGUAAAGAAGCACCGGCUAACUACGUG